rnacentral:lncRNA from 7 species
UUUGUUGAAUGUGUUGGCUGAAGGCCUGUUAGAUGUGAAUGAGAGAGGCUAAGGCUUGUAGAUAGGGAUGUGUAUUAUUCUAGAUUGAGGUGAUAAUUCUUUCAACUGCUAAGCAUUUUUCACAUUAUUAGAGAUGUCCAAUGUUACUGAACUGCAGUGAAUUAUACUAAGAAUUUUAUAAACUCUGUCAAGUGAGAAUAUAUGUUAUAGCAUACGAUGUUUUCAGGUAGUGUUUCAGAUGAGUCUCUAAAGUAACAUCCUAUUGUUCAGAAAGUCAUCAAAAUCAGGGCCCUCGUGAUCGUUAUCAGCAAAUUAUUUGCAUUUCUUUUACUGAAGAAUCAGAGGAGGGAAGAAAAGGCAGAGAGAAGGAAAGAAAAAAAGCAGAGCUGCUUGGCAAAGGUUCUAAAACAAAGACGCAAGUGUAUUUAUGGUUAUAAUUUUGCACAGAUCAGUAGGUGCUCUAACACCAUGCUGCUGAUCACAACAUAAAUCACACUUUAAUUUUAACCUUUGCAAUUCAUCAAUAGUUUCCAUAUCAAAAAUAAUUCAGCACUGACACUAUUGGUUUACAGGUAAGUGGAACAAGAAUGGAGGAGACUUAGUAAUGGAUUAGUUGGCCUGUCAACAGAGACAGAAAGAUUCAUGUUGUCUUCUCUAUGUUUCUAUCACAUGCACAGAGCUAUAAAUAACAGUAACAGCUAAUCAGACGCAGGAAAGAUAUAUGCUCUUACUGGAAACCAGGUUUUUGUACUGAGUUUUAAAUGUUUAGCCAGUGAGAGCGAGUCCGUUUUCAAAGAAGAGCAUUUGGCUACUUUUUGUGUGUAUGUGUGUAUCCAUAUCUACUUAAAGUACUUGCAGUAGUAUAGUUUGCUUUUUUUUUCCUGCUGCGUGUGAAAAUACAUGAUUGUUUGCCUAGCUGUUGUGUUUCUUAGUCUAAACUUCUUCACUCUAACAAUGGAAUUUAGAACUACUUUCAACUAUGUCUGUUUCAAUUUUAAAGCAGACCCAGAAUUGUGCUCUCCAUUCUGAACCCAGCAAUUCAAUGGAAUGAACAGGCAACUAAAUGGUGGUUAAAACCAGUGGUUAAAACCACCACUAUGGUGGUGGCAUUAGUGAUAGAGCAGGUUCCUGCAAAAGCUGAUGGAUCUCUGCCCUUGUGGAUUCUCAAAAUGUUACUGGAUGUGACCAUGAAUAACCUGUUUGAGUGAGAGUGUGGAGCAGAUUAUGUCUAGAAGUUCUGAAUCAUUCUAUGAUUCUAUACUGAGACCUAUAACUCCUGGUAUUUCAAAUUAUUUCCUACCUUUUUUUUCCUCUUCUUUUAUCCUAAACCUGGCUAAGAUUCCAUUAGAUUACAUCUAUCAGAGGCACAAAUGUCCUUGAAUGCUCUGCUUGAGAUGAAAAGCCCUUAAUGGGCUUCUACGGGUUUUAUUCUUCCUUGUGCUUUUUCGUUCUGUUGACUGAAUAUUUCCUGUCAUGCUGAAUCACUAUAUGAAAUUAUUAAAUCAAUGUUGAUAAUAGUAUUAAUUUCCCAUAUGCUAAACUUUAUAACCAGAAUAUUGGCAUGUACAUUCUAUUAAGUUUACAAUUUGUGGUACCGUGUCAAUAUGCUGGAAUGAAAAACACAGUGACAAAUCACUUCUAUGUUAAUACAACUGUGAGCAACUCUACUUCUGUCUCCUACAUCCUCCCAGUCUUUAUAAUGGUUACUGAGUAAAUGCUAAAAUUGCUUAGUAGCACAAUGACACAUCCUUCAGAAGAGAUAAGGGUAUUUAAGACAAAUAGACAUGAUUGGAAAUGAGAUCACAAGAUACUUGGCUGCAUUUAUGAGAUUGCAGAAUGUUAGCACAAUGACAUGAAUGUGAGGUAGAAUUUUCCUUCAACCAAAGUGAUGCAUUCACCCAAAACACUUUUCCCUUUUCGUGUUUCAUAUUGAUUGCGAGUUACCUCCAUGGAAGGUCUGAUAAAGAAUUUCCCUAUAAGACUGUCCUAAACUCUAGGAGGAUAAAUGGUUUUGUUUUGCCUUGCUUUGUUUUAUACUUAGUUCUCUGUAAGUAUCGCAAAAAAAUAAAAUCAAGGAAUACAAAAUGUACAGCAAUGGUGGAUAGAAUGAUGCUCUAGCCAUAGUGCUCUCCCAUAUAUUCAAUAUACCCUAUAACUGCCUGCUGACAUCUGAAGGAGAUGUGAAAUUAUGUGUACAGUUCACAAUCUUUGUGAAAAAGAAAUGGCAAAUCGGACAGAGUGCUCGGGCAUGUAGAGGCUGCUCAUUCCUUGUCUUUAUAGCCGACAGAUCUAACUGAAGAGGACUUUCAGAAAGGUCCUGAACUUUGUUUUUUCACAAAUUACUGCCUUCUUGAAACCUGGCCAAAAUCAGUAGUAGAGAAAGGAGGAGUGUGUUUUAUUAUUUCUUUGGAGAAACACUGCAUAUUCACCUCUCCACACAGUAAUUGUACAUCACUUUUCUCCAACAUGUUUUAGAAAAAAAGGGCAUUCGAGAGUAAGAGGAAGAACAUAAUGUUUCAACAAGAUUAGUCUCAAGCUAGCUGAUUAUGUUAGGGGAAGAGCUUACUUUAGGUUCAGAAAAGCAGUGAGGCAGGUAUAUGAGAGCUGGACCAUGGAAAUUUGAGUUCACAGUUUCCUGCAGUAUUUGAUGUGGGUGGUAUAGACUGUAGGAAAUCAAGGACAGUCUAAACCAUAUCACAUAUCUAGGUAUCACAGUGCCUAACGUGAUAGAUCUUGGCUAGGAUCUACAGGUACAGUGCAGGUAAUAAUACAGCUCACUACCAGAAUUCCUAAUUUACGGUACUCUUUUAUGUAAAAGGAGGCAAAAAAUAACCCCAGAGCACGUUUUGGGUGUUGAUGAAUUACUAUAGGUACUGCAGUGAAAGAAAUCCGCAGAGCUGGAACAGCUGUUUGUUCUGAAGUGUGUUGGGUUUUUUGUUGCUUUUGUUUGUUCUUCAAAUCUUCACUAAAAAAAGGGGGGAAAUGCUGAUUCUUCUGGAAUGACUCCAGUGCUUGCCACUUCAUAUUGUUCAGUAGCAAGAUUACCAAAUCCUACAGUUCUUGCCUUUAAAAAAGUCGCUGAAAUCAUCUCCGCUCCAAAAGACCAGACCAUAAAUACCAAUGAGCUAGAUAAAGUCAAUGCAUCAUUUCCUGUCAUGUCCUAUAGCAUUUGCAGGUUUGCCUGGAAACAGUUUAGAUGGCAAUUUCAGGCUCGUAGUGCUAAAGCAGGAGUGUGGAUCUUGUCAAGACCCUGGAAAGAAGGAAGAAGUUGCUGAAAGUACAAGAUGGUUUAUAUUGAUCUUGUCUUGGUUCUGUUAUUUCUCUUCAACAUGUAGUUUUUUAACUGUUUCUCUUUGUUCACUGAGUCGCUAUUGCUAUCUGAAAAGGUAAUAUUUUCUUCUUGAGAUCCAUCAAGAGCAUAGCAUUAACUUUUUUCUUUCCUAGCCAUGGGUCAAUUUUACCAUUUACUGCUCUGUCACGGUGCUUCUCUCCAUAGGCACUACUCUAAAGGAGGCUUGAUCUUGCCUUUUAUUUGGGUAAUUCUCAUCACGUCUGAUGGUCCACCAGUUAGCAGUUCUAUCCAGAAGCCUACAGGUUCUGAGCCGUAUCUCCUCUGGCCCCACUGAUGGCAGGGGACAGCAGCAUGG